rnacentral:rRNA from 1 species
GACGAACGCUGGCGGCGUGCUUAACACAUGCAAGUCGAACGGAAAGGCCCUGCUUUUGUGGGGUGCUCGAGUGGCGAACGGGUGAGUAACACGUGAGUAACCUGCCCUUGACUUUGGGAUAACUUCAGGAAACUGGGGCUAAUACCGGAUAGGAGCUCCUGCUGCAUGGUGGGGGUUGGAAAGUUUCGGCGGUUGGGGAUGGACUCGCGGCUUAUCAGCUUGUUGGUGGGGUAGUGGCUUACCAAGGCUUUGACGGGUAGCCGGCCUGAGAGGGUGACCGGUCACAUUGGGACUGAGAUACGGCCCAGACUCCUGCGGGAGGCAGCAGUGGGGAAUAUUGCACAAUGGGCGGAAGCCUGAUGCAGCAACGCCGCGUGCGGGAUGACGGCCUUCGGGUUGUAAACCGCUUUCGCCUGUGACGAAGCGUGAGUGACGGUAAUGGGUAAAGAAGCACCGGCUAACUACGUG